CAACCAAUUAACAUCAAAUAAAUUAGGAAAUACAGAAGGUAUCAAGCUAAGUAGUCAAAAGAAUGAAAUGCUGAAAAGUACCAAAAGAUUAAGUCAUUCUCCAAAUUCACGCAUUCAAACCACUAGUUUUGAAGGUCAAAGUAGAGAGCAAUAGACAACUAUAUGAUUUAGCCGAUAAUGUAUUCAUCUUAGUCAUCAAACAUACAAGAAAUAGUGAACUAAGAAAUAAAUCAAUUAUACAUUCAAGCAAAUAAAUCAAUUAUACAUUCAAGCAUUAGGCAGCAUAAUGCCUGUAAU
rnacentral:lncRNA from 1 species